rnacentral:lncRNA from 1 species
GGGAAGAAUGGAAGGAAAGAGACCAGUCGUCUCAGGUAGAGUAGUAAGUGGAUGAUAAGUGGAAUAGAGAUGGAGAUAUGGAAAAAGGGAAUUUGGAGUCACUUGGACCUACUAAGUCUAGUUUUCAAUGAGGUCAGAGUAGAUUAUUGAAAUUUUGAAUAAUUGUUGGUUUAUUGUAAAAUUUUAGAGAUGGGUGAACAAUUAUGACUUAUUUCUGUGUAAUAACUUUUGCUCCAGAUAUUUUCUUGGCUCUUUAAAUAAUAUUUUCUACAGUAGAGUAAGGUAGCUGCGCUUACGUGAGACUGUCAGGCUGGCUCAGUGGCAGAGAGUGCUGCUUACACUCACAAAGAGCCCAGAGUUGAUUCUUCGCACCUACAUACAUGGCAGCUUACAGCCAUCUUUUAUUCUGGUUCCAAGUAUCCAACACCCUCUUCUGAACUCCCCUAGUGUCAGGCAUGCAUGUGGUGCACAGACAUAUGUGUUGGUAAAAUACCCAUACAUAUAAAAUAAGGAAAUCUUUAAAAAAAACAAAAAACAAAAAAAACCCAAAAAACCAUGAAAUUAUUGGCUAGGAGAUUAAUUAGUAAAUUCAUUUAUUUGAGAGUGUAUUUGUGUGUAUUGUGUUUCAUUUUAUAUAUAUAUAUAUAUAAUAUAUAUAUAUGAUAACUAUAUUUUAUAGUAACAAAUGUAAUUUAGGCAAACUUGAAUAGGCUUAAUUUUGUUUAUAUAGGUAUACCUCUAUAUCUCAAUUAAUUUUGGGAUCUCUCAUACAUACAAAAAUUUAAAAAUAGUCAACUUUUACAUAAAAUGGCAUUGCUUUGCAUAUAACCUAAUUCUCCUGUAUACUUAUUUUCACUAUUUGACCAGUGUGUGUGUGUGUGUGUGUGUAUGUGUGUGUGUAAGUGAUCAGUACCUUUAACUACUAAGCCAUCUUGCCUUCCAUGGACUUUAAAUCAUUAUUUUUUAUUUUUGAAAAAUGGUAAGAAUUUUGAGUUAGGGUCUGAAGUGAUGGCUCAGUGGUUAAGAGUAUUGACUGCUCUUCCAGAGGACCCAAGGUUCAAUUCGCAACACCCACAUGGCAGCUUACACUUGUCUCUAACUCUAGUUCCAGGGUAUCUGACACCUUCACACACAUACAAGCAAGCAGAACACCAGUGCACAUAAAAUACAAAUAAGUUAUUUGUCUUAGUUGGUAUUUUACUGCUGUAAAGAGACACCAUGACCAAGGCAACUUUCUUUUUUUUUUUUAAUCUUUAUUUAUUAUAUGUAAGUACACUGUAGCUGUUUUGAGACACUCCAGAAGAGGAAGUCAGAUCUUGUAACAGAUGGUUGUGAGCCACCAUGUGGUUGCUGGGAUUUGAACUCAGGACCUCUGGAAGAGUGCUCUUAAUCACUGAGCCACCUCUCCAGCUCCUGAGCCAUCUCACCAGCUCCACCAAGGCAACUCUUUUUUUUUUUUUUUUUUUUCGAGACAGGGUUUCUCUGUGUAGCCCUGGCUGUCCUGGAACUCACUCUGUAGAUCAGGCUGGCCUCGAACUCAGAAAUCCACCUGCCUCUGCCUCCCAAGUGCUGGGAUUAAGGGCAUGCGCCACCACUGCCCGGCUCUUUAAAAAAAUUUUAAAUUAAAAAGAAUUUUGAGUUAAUACAAUUCAAAGCUUUUUAUUUCAUCAAGUUCUUCUUAAUAAAAUGUCUUUGUAUGUUUUUCUUGUUAUUGAAGAACAGCAACUAUGAGAGAAAUACCUUGGCUUCUCCUUUGAGUUCCAGAAAAUCAGAUCCAGUCACAAACAAGUCCCAGAAGAAAAAUACAAGUAAACAAAAAACCUUUGGAGAUAUUCAAAAGUAAGUGAGCAUGGCUGUCACUUCUCCAUUGAUGGUCUACUGGGUGUUUGCCUUUGGGUUGUGUUCAUACUGACUACCAAAUCUUUAAGGUUUGUUAAUGAGCUUUGUUUACUUAUUUUUUAUGUGUUUAAGUGUUUUGCCUGCAUGUAAAUGCAUGGAGUGUGUGGCUGGUGCCCUUGGAUGUCAGAAGACAGCGCUGGAUUCCGUAGUACUAGAGUUACGGCUGUCUCGGGGGCCUAGUGUAGGCACCAGGAACUGACCCUGGCUCUGUAUCAGACAUGGAGCCAACACGCAUACCUGCUGGACCAUCUUACCAAAAAACUAUUUUAAUUGAAAGCUUGAGCCAGGUGGUCACACCUCUUAUCCCAGCACUUGGGAGGCAGAGGCAGGCGGACCUCUGUGAGUCAAAGGCCAACCUGGACUACAGAGCUAGUUCUAGAAUUGUUCUAGUUCUGUGUAGCCAAGGCUACACGAGGAAACCCUGUCUGG